GUGAGGAAUUUUCCGCAAUGGGCGAAAGCCUGACGGAGCAAUGCCGCGUGAAGGAUGAAGGCCUAUGGGUUGUAAACUUCUUUUCUCAGAAAAGAAUUAUGACGGUAUCUGAGGAAUAAGCAUCGGCUAACUCUGUGCCAGCAGCCGCGGUAAGACAGAGGAUGCAAGCGUUAUCCGGAAUGAUUGGGCGUAAAGCGUCUGUAGGUUGUUUAAAAAGUAUUCUGUCAAAGAUUAGGGCUUAACCCUAGAUAGGCAGAAUAAACUUUUAAGCUAGAGUUUGGUAGAGGCAGAGGGAAUUCCCGGUGGAGCGGUGAAAUGCGUAGAUAUCGGGAGGAACACCAAAGGCGAAGGCACUCUGCUGGGCCAAUACUAACACUGAGGGACGAAAGCGAGGGGAGCAAAUGGGAUUAGAUACCCUAGUAGUCC
rnacentral:rRNA from 1 species